UUUGGCGAUAAAGUUAGUUGGUAUAAAAAAACGUGGUGUACUUAGCUAAAUUCUGGAAUUAAAACUAGUUAAACCUAAAUUAAUUUAUAUUUGGUGGUGGUAAAAAUUGCUGGUGAAUUUGAAACGUCAGCCUAAAAUAGUGGCAAGCGCAGAUAGCGAAUUAUAGAAGACGAUUGAGGUUAAAACUAAACGAUAUUAAACCCAAGCAACAUUUGUAACAUCUAACGAAAUCAACGAAACGAAAUCAACGAAAUCAAAACGAUAUUAAGUGAAAAGUCACACAGUGAUCUAGAAAAUCUAAAAUUUAGUAGAGUAUAACGGAAACCGAUAACUAUUUCUUUGAUUGAUCACACAGUGAUCUUAUUAUAGUUACUAUGAAAUAAAU